UUUUAGCGAUAGCGUAACAGCUCAGUGGUCUGAGCCUCCCUGUAAAAAGGGUAUAUUGCCUGGUGAGGGCGCCAAAAAUGUAACGGGUCUAUAGUAGUUGUCUCUCUGUUCCAGCUUUGGAUAUGGAGGGAGUGGCAGUUUCUUUACUGUCUCACCGAAACCCUGUCCUAGAUGUAAAAUUCUAGGGGUAGCAGAAUACCCAGCAAAUGGAAUGAAGCUUGCUCAUUGCGCCGGUGGACAUAGCUGGGCUAAGAACGCUGACAUGAGUAGCCUAAAAGGAGGGUAAUUCCCUCUUCGCCGAAAGCAGAAGGGUUUCAUUUGUAAGGUCUAUACCUAGAUGAUUAAAGCAGCGGCCUCUAAGGUUCAGAGUAACAAAUUAGUUCCGAUGAGUAACUCUUCUAUAGGGCAGUAACCUUCCUUAUAAGUUUACCUUCAAGUAAUUAGAGGUAUACUUCAAAGAGUAAGGUUCGGGAAAGAGCCCUACAGAAUCAAUCUUAAAACCGUACCCUAAACCGACACAGGUCUGCAAGUAGAGCAUACUAAGGCGUAGAGAUAAUCGUCUUGAAGGAACUCGGCAAAAUGACCCCGUAACUUCGGGAGAAGGGGUGCCACUAAUAAGUGGCGGCACUAAACA
rnacentral:rRNA from 1 species